AUAGUUGAUACUUGAUACAGCGGACAGCCUUUAUAUACCCUUCCUAAACGAAACCUUCCAAACUCAACACUCAACGGAGAUUAACAAAAAUAAAAGAGAAAUGGAGACGGAAGUGAUUUUCUUAUGCAGCUACGGUGGGCAGAUCAAGUUCCACGACGGAACCAACCAACACAUGUACGAAGGCGGCAAAAACAAGAAACUCCGCGUUCGCAGCAGCAUCAAUUUCAAUGACUUGAUCGCCGAGCUCGCCGACAACAGCGGCACUGCCGACGUGGCCUACUUCGAGUACCAGAUCUCAGGGUACGGCCUAGAAACCCUCGUCAGCGUCACCAACGACAGAGACCUCCGCAACCUGAUGCGGGAGUUCGAUCCGAACAUACCCGACGACGUCAAGCGUAUCUUCCUCUUCCCUGAGAAAAAUCCUUCACCCUCUCCUCCUCCUCCGCAGCGCUUGGAGCGCGUCGAUUCACCGCUGCAAGUCGCUGAGAACGCGUCCGAGCUGGAGGCAGUUGCAGGUCCGCGUGUGAACCACGUGGUUCACUACUUGAUGCUUGUAUCGGCCGGUUUACUCUUCACAGCGGUACUACUUUUUUUGGUACCCUUCGUAUUCACCCUUCAACCGCAGAAUCAUUCAGUUAUGGUCGUUAACGACGACCUCAAGAGCACUGGAACUAUCGCACCACUUGGAUCUGAUGAUCUUGAUGAUCAAUCUGUCUCCGACAAAGCUGCAGCAGUACCGGCUUUCGAUCCGUCGAAUGCUGCAGAUUUUUAUGUGUUUAUCAGUUUUAGAGGCAAGGACUCGCGCAUCAACUUCGUGUGUCAUCUUCACCAAGCUCUCAACCAACAACAAAUCAAAGUCUUCAUAGAUCACAAGCUCCCAAAAGGACACAGCAUAUGGCCUUCACUCUUAAAGGCUAUUGAAAGUUCACAUUUAUCUCUUGUCAUUUUCUCACAGGACUAUGCUUCCAGCAAGUGGUGUUUGCAAGAAUUGGUCAAAAUAUUAGAGACCAUGAAGCAACAAGGACAAGUUGUUCUCCCUGUUUUUUAUAAUAUAGAUCCAUCACAUGUGCGUUACCAGCUUGGAAGUUUUAAACAAGCAUUCGAAAAGCACGUGCAGAAAUUUGACCCAAUUGUGGUUCAAAAUUGGAAGACGGCUCUCACUGAAGCAGCAGAUUUGAUUGGUUGGGAUUCAAAGUCACCCUACAUUAGGUGACGGCUUAUUAUUUAUUAGUUAUCGGAACAUAAAAUAAAAUAAAUUGAUUAUUAUUCGAUUAAAAGGAUGAUGAUGAUCUUGUUCAGCAGAUAGUGGAAGAUGUUUUAGAGAAGAAGAAUCAAUAUUGCAAAUCCAAGGCUUGAGCUGAGAAUUCGCGAUUCUGAAGCUUUCGGUCGUCAUGGAUGACGUGGAUAUAUAAACACAAUUAGCAAAUAUAUGUGCUUUAUGUUUUAAAAGGAUCUCGCUAGGUGACAACGGACUAUUUGUCCGAGUACAAAGGAUGAUAAACAUCUUUUUAAAAAAUUAAUUUAAUUUUUGAGUUUACCAAGGAUCGAACUCUUGACCUUUCAGAUCUAGCGCUUUAAUACCGUGUCAUGAUACCACUCAUCCCAAAAGCUUCAACUGAUGAGAAAAUGUAACACUAAUAAUUAUAUCUCUAAUACUUCAUAAACCUCCAUUGUGCACAUUGUAUAAAUAUUUCAUUGGCUCCUCA